AGAUGUAACUCCAGGCCAUAUCAUAAGCUCCUGAUAACUAAUAUGUUAAACGUUUGCGUCCGCUCACUCCUGGGGCAACUUUUGGGUUGCGGCAUGUCGGGGGUGCGACAUAAAAACGGGAGGAGGGCAUUGAAUUGAUAGCACGCAGUUAAUUAGCGAGGGAUUUUGGCUUAUCUUUUAGCAAAGUGGAAGAGGGAAAAACCAAUAUCACUCUAAAACCAGGAGGAUUUUUAUGCCGGAUUGUGGGAAAAUCCUUCACACACUCUUUGUGGGCCAUUUCUACAGGGUAAUAAAAGGAGAUUUACGAUGAGCACCGAUCUGAAAUUUUCCGUUGUCACAACGGCUAUCGUGUUGGGCCUGAUUGUUGCAGGCGCUUUAACAGCCGUAAUGCACUAA
rnacentral:sRNA from 1 species